rnacentral:rRNA from 1 species
GGUCAAGUUAUUAAGGGUGCAGGGCGGAUGCCUUGGCACUAGGAGCCGAUGAAGGACGUGAUAAUGUCUAAGUAUCAUUAAGUGAAUACAUAGCUUAAUGAGGGGAACUCAGGGAACUGAAACAUCUAAGUACCUGAAGGAAGAGAAAGAAAUUCGAUUCCGUAAGUAGCGGCGAGCGAACGCGGAUUAGCCCAAACCAAUAAAGUUUUCUUUAUUGGGGUUGCGGACAUAUCAUAACGAAGAGGUAUCGUAAUUGAAGAGGUUUGGAAAGACCCACCACAGAAGGUAAUAGUCCUGUAUGUUAAACGAGAAGACUUUAGAUAUGAUCCAGAGUACCACGGGACACGUGAAACCCUGUGGGAAGCAGGAGGGACCACCCUCCAAGGCUAAAUACUACCUAGUGACCGAUAGCGUAUAGUACCGUGAGGGAAAGGUGAAAAGAACCCCGGGAGGGGAGUGAAAUAGAACCUGAAACCCUGCACUUACAAGCUGUGGAAGCACAUUUCUUGUGUGACCGCGUACUUUUUGUAGAACGGGCCAACGAGUUACGUUAAGUAGCAAGGUUAAGCACUUAAGGUGUGAAGCGAAAGUAAAAUUUCGUGGAGGUCCGAACCCACGAGCGUUGAAAAGCUCGGGGAUGACUUGUGGGUAGCGGUGAAAUUCCAAUCGAGCCCGGAGAUAGCUGGUUCUCCCCGAAAUAGCUUUAGGGCUAGCCUCAAGGUGAGAGAUACGGAGGUAGAGCACUGAAUGUCCUAGGGGGUAUUGCACCUACCGAAGACUAUCAAACUCCGAAUGCCGUCAUCUUAUACUUGGGAGUCAGACUGUGGGUGAUAAGAUUCAUAGUCGAAAGGGCAACAGCCCAGAUCGUCAGCUAAGGUCCCUAAAUGUAAGUUAAGUGGUAAAGGAUGUGGGAUUGCACAGACAACCAGGAUGUUGGCUUAGAAGCAGCCACUCAUUCAAAGAGUGCGUAAUAGCUCACUGGUCGAGUGAUCCUGCGCCGAAGAUUUCCGGGGCUAAAACUUACUACCGAAGCUACGGCAUCAGUAAUGAUGGGUAGGGGAGCUUCCCAUACGGGUUGAAGCAUGACCGUAAGGACAUGUGGACAGUAUGGGAGUGAGAAUGUUGGCAUGAGUAGCGAGAUGUGGGUGAGAAUCCCACAGGCCGUAAACCCAAGGUUUCCAGGGGAAGGUUCGUCCGCCCUGGGUUAGUCGGGACCUAAGCUGAGGCCGAAAGGCGUAGGUGAUGGACAACAGGUUGAUAUUCCUGUACUACCGAUAACCGUUUGAGAGAAGGGAUGACACAGUAGGAUAAGCUAAGCACACUGUUGGUUAUGUGUGCCCAAGCAUUGAGGCAGUCAAAGUAGGCAAAUCCGCUUUGAUAAUGCUGGGAUGUGAUGGGGAGCGAAAUUUAGUAGCGAAGUAGCUGAUUUCACACUGUCAAGAAAAGUCUCUAUCGAGGUUAAAGGUACCCGUACCGCAAACCGACACAGGUGGGUGAGGAGAGUAUCCUAAGGCCAGCGAGAGAACUGUUGUUAAGGAACUCGGCAAAAUGACCCCGUAACUUAGGGAUAAGGGGUGCCACCAUCAGGUGGCCGCAGAGAAUAGGCCCAAGCGACUGUUUACCAAAAACAUAGGUUUCUGCUAAGUCGCAAGACGAUGUAUAGGAGCUGACGCCUGCCCGGUGCUGGAAGGUUAAGGGGAUCUGUUAGAGCAAUCGAAGCAGUGAACUUA